GACGAACGCUGGCGGCGUGCUUAACACAUGCAAGUCGAACGGAAAGGCCCUGCUUUUGUGGGGUGCUCGAGUGGCGAACGGGUGAGUAACACGUGAGUAACCUGCCCUUGACUUUGGGAUAACUUCAGGAAACUGGGGCUAAUACCGGAUAGGAGCUCCUGCUGCAUGGUGGGGGUUGGAAAGUUUCGGCGGUUGGGGCUGGACUCGCGGCUUAUCAGCUUGUUGGUGGGGUAGUGGCUUACCAAGCCUUUGACGGGUAGCCGGCCUGGGAGGGUGACCGGCGACAUUGGGACUGAGAUACGGCCCAGACUCCUACGGGAGGCAGCAGUGGGGAAUAUUGCACAAUGGGCGGAAGCCUGAUGCAGCAACGCCGCGUGCGGGAUGACGGCCUUCUGGUUGUAAACCGCUUUCGCCUGUGACGAAGCGUGAGUGACGGUAAUGGGUAAAGAAGCACCGGCUAACUACGUG
rnacentral:rRNA from 1 species